rnacentral:rRNA from 1 species
GACGAACGCUGGCGGCGUGCUUAACACAUGCAAGUCGAGCGGUAAGGCCCUUUCGGGGGUACGACGAGCGGCGAACGGGUGAGUAACACGUGGGUGACCUGCCCUCAGCUCUGGGAUAAGCCUGGGAAACCGGGUCUAAUACUGGAUAUGACUCCAUGACGCAUGUUGUGGGGUGGAAAGCCUUGUGCGGCUGAGGAUGGGCCCGCGGCCUAUCAGCUUGUUGGUGGGGUGACGGCCUACCAAGGCGACGACGGGUAGCCGGCCUGAGAGGGCGACCGGCCACACUGGGACUGAGACACGGCCCAGACUCCUACGGGAGGCAGCAGUGGGGAAUCUUGCGCAAUGGGCGAAAGCCUGACGCAGCGACGCCGCGUGAGGGAUGACGGCC